AUAUUGCUGAGGAGUCCCAUAAUAGGACGAAACGGCCGUCCAGUGC
rnacentral:hammerhead_ribozyme from 1 species